AACGAACGCUGGCGGCAUGCCUAACACAUGCAAGUCGAACGAGACCUUCGGGUCUAGUGGCGCUCGGGUGCGUAACGCGUGGGAACCUGCCCGUAGGUUCGGAAUAACUCACCGAAAGGGGUGCUAAUACCGGAUAAUCUCUUCGGACCAAAGAUUUAUCGCCUUUGGAUGGGCCCGCGUUGGAUUAGCUAGUUGGUAGGGUAAAAGCCUACCAAGGCGACGAUCCAUAGCUGGUCUGAGAGGAUGAUCAGCCACACUGGGACUGAGACACGGCCCAGACUCCUACGGGAGGCAGGAGUGGGGAAUAUUGGACGAGGGGCGAAAGCCUGAUCCAGCAAUGCCGGGUGAGUGAUGAAGGGCUUAGGGUUGUAAAGCUCUUUUACCCGGGAUGAUAAUGACAGUACCGGGAGAAUAAGCUCCGGCUAACUCCGUG
rnacentral:rRNA from 1 species